rnacentral:lncRNA from 1 species
AGGCAUCUCACAACACCAGUGCAGCCGGACCGUUGUCUGGUAGGUCUCUGUGCACCCAGGAGGACCUGGGCCUGCGAGAAGUCUGGGGCCCACUGCUGGGUAUGCUCGUUUCUUGAGCAUCCGAGUCACCUUUACAGUCUGCGAUGAUUGACGAGGUCAAACAGGACUCACUUGCAUUGCCGGGUCUCUGUGGCGACAGGGAGGACUUGGAGGAGAGGUGCCCGAUGAGCUCCCAGUCAUGUGGUUCAGGGCGGGCUCUGGAAGACUCACAGAGGAGACUCCUCCGAGAAACCAAGAAGGUUUCUGUCCAAGUCGGGAUCUGCUCUGCUCAGGAUGCUCCUCCAACACACACAGUGAAAAACUGAGCACCUAGAGAGCAACACCAAAAACCCAUGGCCAAUAAUGGAGAGCCAAAUCAGGAGAGCAUUCAGCAAAGCAAUUCUUGCUGUAGAAGGAACAGCACAAAAAGCUGGAAGGAAACUGAGGCAUGCGUGAAAGAUAACUUGUCAGUGUUUGCAGUCUACUGAGAUCCCCGCUGCAAGAAAAGGCAGGAUUUCCACUUGCUUCUUGGCCCGCCUCUGUUGUCCAGAAUCCAGGACAGGUGACAAGAGAAGCAGAUGUGAUCUGCACAAGCUGGCUCAGCUGGGUUGGGAGUUGCUCUUCCUGGACAGGCCGGGAAGGGUGCUGGAGGGGAGGGAGGAGGAGAGAGGUUUUAGGGGAGGGGUGCUGAGCAGUCAGGGACCUGUAAGGUCACAUUUCUUUCAGGUAUUCUUUCUAGGUGUACUGAAUGGGAACAUUGUCUGUCAUCCCUAGACUGCAUUAAAGACCUAAACUGCUUCCAUUUA